GGGUAAAUUCCCGACAUGCCGAUAAUCGAUACGGGCCUUGAGAGAGGAAGCCCGGAGAUGGAUUCUGAGACAAAAAUCCAGGUCCUACGGGACGCAUCAGGCGCGAAAAUUCCACAAUGCGCGAAAGCGUUAUGGAGAAACCCGAAGUGGAUUCGCUAAGCGAAUCCUUUUGUCAAGCGUAAAAAGCUUGGCGAAUAAGGGGUGGGUAAGACGGGUGCCAGCCGCCGCGGUAAUACCCGCGCCCCGAGUGGUAAUCACGUUUAUUGGGUUUAAAGCGUCCGUAGCCGGUUUGUUAAGUUUCUAAUGAAAUCCUGCAGUAAACUGCAAGACUUGUUAGGAAUACUGGCAAACUUGGGACCGGGAGAGGCAAGGAGUACUGUAGGGGUAAGGGUAAAAUCUUAUAAUCCUUACAGGACUACCAGUGGCGAAGGCGCCUUGCUAGAACGGAUCCGACGGUGAGGGGCGAAAGCUAGGGGAGCAAAGGGGAUUAGAUAGAACCCUUCUUUCUAAAGAAAGAAGCCUUCUAUGGGAAGAAAAGAAUUUACGAAAUAAUAGGUUCCUAAAAACCCCCGUAGUCCUAGCUGUAAACGAUACCCACCAGACGUUGGGGGUCUUACGAGGGCUCUCAGUGUCACAGGGAAACCGCUAAGUGGGUCACCUGGGGAGUACGGCCGCAAGAC
rnacentral:rRNA from 1 species